rnacentral:rRNA from 1 species
GACGAACGCUGGCGGCGUGCUUAACACAUGCAAGUCGAACGGUAAGGCCCUUCGGGGUACACGAGUGGCGAACGGGUGAGUAACACGUGGGUGAUCUGCCCUACACUUUGGGAUAAGCCUGGGAAACUGGGUCUAAUACCGAAUACACCCUGCUGGUCGCAUGGCCUGGUGGGGGAAAGCUUUUGCGGUGUGGGAUGGGCCCGCGGCCUAUCAGCUUGUUGGUGGGGUGAUGGCCUACCAAGGCGACGACGGGUAGCCGGCCUGAGAGGGUGUCCGGCCACACUGGGACUGAGAUACGGCCCAGACUCCUACGGGAGGCAGCAGUGGGGAAUAUUGCACAAUGGGCGCAAGCCUGAUGCAGCGACGCCGCGUGAGGGAUGACGGCCUUCGGGUUGUAAACCUCUUUCAAUAGGGACGAAGCGCAAGUGACGGUACCUAUAGAAGAAGCACCGGCCAACUACGUGCCAGCAGCCGCGGUAAUACGUAGGGUGCGAGCGUUGUCCGGAAUUACUGGGCGUAAAGAGCUCGUAGGUGGUUUGUCGCGUUGUUCGUGAAAACUCACAGCUUAACUGUGGGCGUGCGGGCGAUACGGGCAGGCUGGAGUACUGCAGGGGAGACUGGAAUUCCUGGUGUAGCGGUGGAAUGCGCAGAUAUCAGGAGGAACACCGGUGGCGAAGGCGGGUCUCUGGGCAGUAACUGACGCUGAGGAGCGAAAGCGUGGGGAGCGAACAGGAUUAGAUACCCUGGUAGUCCACGCCGUAAACGGUGGGUACUAGGUGUGGGUUUCCUUCCUUGGGAUCCGUGCCGUAGCUAACGCAUUAAGUACCCCGCCUGGGGAGUACGGCCGCAAGGCUAAAACUCAAAGAAAUUGACGGGGGCCCGCACAAGCGGCGGAGCAUGUGGAUUAAUUCGAUGCAACGCGAAGAACCUUACCUGGGUUUGACAUGCACAGGACGCCGGCAGAGAUGUCGGUUCCCUUGUGGCCUGUGUGCAGGUGGUGCAUGGCUGUCGUCAGCUCGUGUCGUGAGAUGUUGGGUUAAGUCCCGCAACGAGCGCAACCCUUGUCUCAUGUUGCCAGCACGUUAUGGUGGGGACUCGUGAGAGACUGCCGGGGUCAACUCGGAGGAAGGUGGGGAUGACGUCAAGCCAUCAUGCCCCUUAUGUCCAGGGCUUCACACAUGCUACAAUGGCCGGUACAAAGGGCUGCGAUGCCGUGAGGUGGAGCGAAUCCUUUCAAAGCCGGUCUCAGUUCGGAUCGGGGUCUGCAACUCGACCCCGUGAAGUCGGAGUCGCUAGUAAUCGCAGAUCAGCAACGCUGCGGUGAAUACGUUCCCGGGCCU